AGCCCCGUGUCCUAGUUAGGUCAAUGGUUCUGGACUUUGGUCAAUAAAAGUAUAUCACUCGUUAGAGGCGGUACUUAUAUACUAUUAUUGAAAGCUAUCCAGAGACACAGGUUCGAAUCCUGUCGGGGCUA
rnacentral:tRNA from 1 species